ACGGCUCAGUAACACGUGGACAACCUGCCCUUAGGUUGGGUAUAAACCCGGGAAACUGGGUAUAAUACCCGAUAGGUCUCGAUUGCUGGAAUGCAUCGAGAUUUAAAGCUCCGGCGCCUAAGGAUGGGUCUGCGGCCUAUCAGGUAGUAGUGGGUGUAGCGUACCUACUAGCCUACGACGGGUACGGGUUGUGAGAGCAAGAGCCCGGAGAUGGAUUCUGAGACACGAAUCCAGGCCCUACGGGGUGCAGCAGGCGCGAAAACUUUACAAUGCUGGCAACAGCGAUAAGGGAACCUCGAGUGCCAGGUUACAAAUCUGGCUGUCGAGAUGCCUAAAAAGCAUUUCGUAGCAAGGGCCGAGCAAGACCGGUGCCAGCCGCCGCGGUAACACCGGCGGCUCGAGUGGUAACCGUUAUUAUUGGGUCUAAAGGGUCUGUAGCCGGCCGGAUAAGUCUCUUGAGAAAUCUGGCAGCUUAACUGUCAGGCUUUCAGGAGAUACUGUCUGGCUCGAGGCCGGGAGAGGUGAGAGGUACUUCAGGGGUAGGGGUGAAAUCUUGUAAUCCUUGAAGGACCACCAGUGGCGAAGGCGUCUCACCAGAACGGACCUGACGGCAAGGGACGAAAGCUAGGGGCACGAACCGGAUUAGAUACCCGGGUAGUCCUAGCCGUAAACGAUACUCGCUAGGUGUCGGCCACGGUGCGACCGUUGUCGGUGCCGUAGGGAAGCCGUGAAGCGAGCCACCUGGGAAGUACGGCCGCAAGGCUGAAACUUAAAGGAAUUGGCGGGGGAGCAC
rnacentral:rRNA from 1 species